rnacentral:rRNA from 1 species
GACAGAGGGUGCAAACGUUGUUCGGAAUUACUGGGCGUAAAGCGCGUGUAGGCUGUCUCGAAAGUCGGAUGUGAAAUCCCUCGGCUCAACCAAGGAAGUGCAUCCGAAACUGCUGAGCUUGAGUACUUAAGAGGAUCGCGGAAUUCCCGGUGUAGAGGUGAAAUUCGUAGAUAUCGGGAGGAACACCAGUGGCGAAGGCGGCGAUCUGGGAAGAUACUGACGCUGAGGUGCGAAAGCGUGGGGAGCAAACAGG